rnacentral:rRNA from 1 species
UACGUAGGGUGCGAGCGUUAAUCGGAAUUACUGGGCGUAAAGCGUGCGCAGGCGGUUUUGCAAGCCGGAUGUGAAAUCCCCGGGCUCAACCUGGGAAUGGCAUUCGAGACUGCAUGGCUAGGGUGCGGAAGAGGGAAGCGGAAUUUCCGGUGUAGCGGUGAAAUGCGUAGAUAUCGGAAGGAACACCAGUGGCGAAAGCGGCUUCCUGGUCCAGCACCGACGUUCAGGCACGAAAGCGUGGGGAGCAAACAGG